GAGGGUAUAGCUCAAGUGGUGGAGUGUGUGCUUAGCACACAUGAGGUCCUGGGUUCAAUCCCGAGUACCUCCA
rnacentral:tRNA from 1 species